rnacentral:rRNA from 1 species
CGCGGCCUAUCAGCUUGUUGGUGAGGUAAAGGCUCACCAAGGCAUUGACGGGUAGCUGGUCUGAGAGGACGAUCAGCCACACUGGGACUGAGACACGGCCCAGACUCCUGCGGGAGGCAGCAGUGGGGAAUCUUGCGCAAUGGGCGAAAGCCUGACGCAGCAACGCCGCGUGGGGGAUGAAGGCUCUCGGGUUGUAAACCCCUUUCAGCAGGGACGAAAUUGACGGUACCUGUAGAAGAAGCCCCGGCCAACUACGUGCCAGCAGCCGCGGUAACACGUAGGGGGCGAGCGUUGUCCGGAAUUAUUGGGCGUAAAGGGCUCGUAGGCGGUUCGGUAAGUCAGAUGUGAAAGGUUGGGGCUCAACCCUAAGACUGCAUUUGAUACUGCCGUGACUAGAGUCCGGUAGAGGAGUGUGGAAUUCCUGGUGUAGCGGUGAAAUGCGCAGAUAUCAGGAGGAACACCGACGGCGAAGGCAGCACUCUGGGCCGGUACUGACGCUGAGGAGCGAAAGCGUGGGUAGCAAACAGGAUUAGAUACCCUGGUAGUCCACGCCGUAAACGUUGGGCACUAGGUGUGGGACCUUAUCAACGGGUUCCGUGCCGUAGCUAACGCAUUAAGUGCCCCGCCUGGGGAGUACGG